AGUUAAUGAACUUGAAUAAGUAUUUAUUUUGAAAAUAAAUAAUAAAAGUUAAAAUCUUUUAUUAACUA
rnacentral:tRNA from 1 species